UUCUUAUAUUAUUUAAUUCUCUUACUUAAUUCUGGUUUACAAUUUACGUCUCUUGAAAAAAGAGUUCCUAAAAGUAUUUAAAAACUCCCGUAAACCCUAAAAAAUUAUCAGAUUUUUUCAAGUAUUCUUUUUUAUCACCAUUUUAAUUGACUUUACAAUAACUCCCAGACUUAUAACCCUCAAAUCCUCUCUCUACUUGGGAAUUAUUGCAGUAAAGUUAGAACCGGGUCAAGUCCUGACGAUUCCCAUAAUGACUGGCACUUACUCAAUGGCCAAGAAAAAAUCCAAGAAAAUAAAAUAAAGGACCCAAAGCGACCAAGCUAAAGUCCUGCUGAAACUUUUCAAUUAGUUAUGCUCACAACUUCAUAAUGCGAGGAGGUGGUGGAGUGCCAAAACAGGCAAACUGAAUUUGCAAAACCAAAUUGGCAAACAUGCCAAUAAGUAGUCCUGCAAACACUGAACCACUACCCAUUCAGCUGAAAUAAAACAACAUUUGACAGCCA